rnacentral:rRNA from 1 species
CAGUCGUACCUAUGGGUAAUCAGCCUUUUGGGUGUGAUUUUGUGGAGCGUGAGGAGUUAAACGCCUUCAUGCCUGCAUAUUCGUGCACUUUGGGUGUACUUGCCCGUAUGGUUGGUUAACAUCAAUUUUGGUGGUCAUAAAAUGACUGGAGGAAUGUAGCUUCGAUCUUGUAUUGAAGUGUUAUAGCCUUCGGUAGAUGUGAUGAUCGAGAUUGAGGAUUGCAACGGAUACCUUUCGGGGCUACCUGUCUGGUCUCUGAUCGUUGCUCUGGUGCCGAAAGCUUGCUUACGGUUAUCAAAGUCGAUGGUCAAUAGGUUAGAACGGGUUAAA